GGCGAGCGGCGGCGUCGGCGCUGCUGGGCUCGGACUCCUCCCGCUCCCGCGGCCCCGUGACCCCGUGACCCCGUGACCCCGUGACCCCGCAGGCUUCAGCUCCCGCGAGGUCUCCCCUCGCCCCGCGCGUGAGCGCCCCGCGCGUCUCUCUCCGCGUCUUCCCUCCCUGCCGUGCCCGCCCCGCAGCGCUGGCCUCGUCCCAUCCUCGGCCGGGAGCGGCAGGCUCCUCUUCGCCGCAGGAUCCAGACCCGGCCUGGAUCGCGUAGACGCGGCCGCGCGGAAGCCGUCAGUCAGGGCACGAGCUUCAGGGGCAGAAGCAGACUUUCAGUAAACACCCUGAGAAGCCCCACCACAGUACUGAGGGCACGGCGAGCCUGGCGCCACAUCUCACAGAUUCCAUUGCACUAAUAUGUGACCAAGAGGUUCGUCGUUAAAUGAUCUGGAGCAAAUGCUUAGAAAACGUUAUUCCGAACUGCUCAGUUCUCCAGCUGUGCUGGGGUCUACUUCAUCUCUGAGACUUCACUCCACCCACGAUACCCUUUGCCUGGACCCUGCAGCCUGGCUUUCCGGCCAUCUUUCUGUGUUUCCCCAUUUGAAGUAGCACAUCUUCCAGCACAUCUGAAGAAUGGGUGAAUGGGAAAUGAGUUUUCUGAGGCAAUGUUUGUCUGAAAACUAUCUUUAUUCUAGCUUCAUGAUUGGGUUAUGGUAAUUGAUAAUUUUAUUUGUAAUAUUCUUGGGGUGCAUAGAGAAUUCUAGGUUAUAAACCAUUUUUUUCUUUAUAGAAUUUAUUUUUCUCAGUUCUGGGGAUUAAACUCAGGGCUUUCAUACUUAGCUACAUCAACAGCCCUUUAUUUUUAAUUUCUGUUUUUGACAAACUCUCACUAAGUCACUAAAUUGCCUGGGCUGGGCUUGAACUUGUGAUCCUCCUGCCUCAGCCUCCCAGUGUCCUGGAAUUAAAGGCCUGGGCCACCAUGUCCAGCAGCCUUGGUCUUUUUGUCUCACAGCUUCCAUGUCUGCUAUUCAGAAAUCUUUCCCCAAAUGAAUAUAAAUAUUAUAUAUUGCAGACAUAGACCAUUUUUUAAAAAUCCAGGUACCAUUGUAACUCCAUGAUUUCUGGGGAUGUGGCCUGUGUUUUGUCCUGUCUGGAAGCUUUUGGAAUCUUUCAUGAGUCCUGAAGUUGUCUUCAAAAUAGCUGCCCAUACCAUCAGACAUAGUAAAAUCAAACAAAACAGAAUAGAACCAAUAAAAACAAAACAAUGAACACAGUAAAGGACUUCAAAACAAGAUAAUAGUAAAUCCAAAAUGGCUACCAUAAUAUACUUUGCAAUCUUUGAAAUAGUUGCCCAUGCCAUCGGAUAUAAUGAAAUCCAACAAAACAAAACAAUAAAAGGCAACCUAACAAAACAAUGAAAAUGAUACGGACCUCAGAACAAGACAAUAGGAAGUUAACAACAGCCUUCUAAUAGAUGCUGCAUUGUAUUGUUAUCCUCUGAAAAGCUGAUCGCACCACCCGCUUCAGGCCUGCAAAGUCAGUAAAACUCUAAAC